rnacentral:rRNA from 1 species
UGAGGAAUAUUGCACAAUGGGCGAAAGCCUGAUGCAGCGACGCCGCGUGGAGGAUGAAGGUUUUCGAAUUGUAAACUCCUGUUAAGCGAGAAAAAAGACCUGCUAUGAAUAAGAGCGGGGGAUGAUUGUAUCGCUAGAGAAAGCACUGGCUAACCUCGUGCCAGCAGCCGCGGUAAUACGAGGGGUGCAAACGUUAUUCGGAAUCAUUGGGCGUAAAGGGUGCGUAGACGGCAUCUUAAGUCAAUUAUUAAAUCUUUUGGCCUAACCAAAAAUUUGUGAUUGAGACUGGGUUGCUAGAGGGUGGAAGAGAGAAGUGGAAUUCUCGGAGUAGCGGUAAAAUGCGUAGAUCUCGAGAGGAACACCGAUGGCGAAGGCAGCUUCUUGGUCCAUUUCUGACGUUGAAGUACGAAAGCGUGGGGAGCAAACA